UGGAGAGUUUGAUCCUGGCUCAGAUUGAACGCUGGCGGCAGGCCUAACACAUGCAAGUCGAGCGGUUGAGGUAGCUUGCUACCGAUGCAGCGGCGGACGGGUGAGUAAUACAUGGGAAUCUGCCUGGUAGUGGGGGACAACGUUUCGAAAGGAACGCUAAUACCGCAUACGCCCUACGGGGGAAAGGGGGGGAUCUUCGGACCUCUCGCUAUCAGAUGAGCCCAUGUCGGAUUAGCUAGUUGGUGGGGUAAAGGCUCACCAAGGCGACGAUCCGUAACUGGUCUGAGAGGAUGAUCAGUCACACUGGAACUGAGACACGGUCCAGACUCCUACGGGAGGCAGCAGUGGGGAAUAUUGGACAAUGGGCGCAAGCCUGAUCCAGCCAUGCCGCGUGUGUGAAGAAGGCCUUAGGGUUGUAAAGCACUUUCAGUGGGGAGAAAGGUAAUUCACUUAAUACGUGAGUUAAUUGAUGUUACCCACAGAAGAAGCACCGGCUAACUCCGUGCCAGCAGCCGCGGUA
rnacentral:rRNA from 1 species